rnacentral:rRNA from 1 species
UACGGAGGGGGGCUAGCGUUGUUCGGAAUUACUGGGCGUAAAGCGCGCGUAGGCGGCUUUGUAAGUCAGAGGUGAAAUCCCGGGGCUCAACUCCGGAACUGCCUUUGAAACUGCAUCGCUUGAAUCCGGGAGAGGUGAGUGGAAUUCCGAGUGUAGAGGUGAAAUUCGUAGAUAUUCGGAAGAACACCAGUGGCGAAGGCGGCUCACUGGACCGGCAUUGACGCUGAGACGCGAAAGCGUGGGGAGCGAACAGG